AUUAGAGAAAUCAAAAUGAGUAGGACUAAAUUGGUGAAAUCGACAUAGUCGAGGGAUCAUUUUGGUAAUUUGCUCAUUAAUUAAUUAGGUUAUGU